rnacentral:rRNA from 1 species
UACGGAGGGGGCUAGCGUUGUUCGGAAUUACUGGGCGUAAAGCGCGCGUAGGCGGCUUUGUAAGUCAGAGGUGAAAGCCUGGAGCUCAACUCCAGAACUGCCUUUGAAACUACAUCGCUAGAAUCAUGGAGAGGUUAGUGGAAUUCCGAGUGUAGAGGUGAAAUUCGUAGAUAUUCGGAAGAACACCAGUGGCGAAGGCGACUAACUGGACAUGUAUUGACGCUGAGGUGCGAAAAGCGUGGGGAGCAAACAGG